rnacentral:rRNA from 1 species
AACGAACGCUGGCGGCAGGCCUAACACAUGCAAGUCGAGCGAGAUCUUCGGGUCUAGCGGCGGACGGGUGAGUAACGCGUGGGAAUAUGCCUCUUGGUACGGAAUAGCCUCGGGAAACUGGGAGUAAUACCGUAUGUGCCCUUUGGGGGAAAGAUUUAUCGCCAAGAGAUUAGCCCGCGUUGGAUUAGGUAGUUGGUGGGGUAAUGGCCUACCAAGCCGACGAUCCAUAGCUGGUUUGAGAGGAUGGUCAGCCACACUGGGACUGAGAAAAGGCCCCAACUCCCACGGGGAGCCAGCAGGGGGAAAUCUAGACAAUGGGGGCAACCCUGAUCUAGCCAUGCCGCGUGAGUGAUGAAGGCCUUAGGGUUGUAAAGCUCUUUCAGCUGGGAAGAUAAUGACGGUACCAGCAGAAGAAGCCCCGGCUAACUCCGUG